UACGUAGGGCGCAAGCGUUGUCCGGAAUUAUUGGGCGUAAAGAGCUCGUAGGCGGUCUGUCGCGUCUGCCGUGAAAACCCGAGGCUUAACCUCGUGGCUUGCGGUGGAUACGGGCAGACUAGAGGUAGGUAGGGGAGAAUGGAAUUCCUGGUGUAGCGGUGGAAUGCGCAGAUAUCAGGAGGAACACCGGUGGCGAAGGCGGAUCUCUGGGCCACAACUGACGCUGAGGAGCGAAAGCAUGGGGAGCGAACAGG
rnacentral:rRNA from 1 species